GGGAAAGGUGGAGGAGAGAGGAGGGGGGGAGCGGGGAGGAGCGGCCGGGCCUGGGGCCUUGAGGCCCGGGAGAGCCGGGGAGCUGGGCCGGCGCGCCGAGAUGCUGCUGCUGCUGCUGGCGCCGCUCUUCCUCCGCCCCCCGGGCGCGGGCGGGGCGCAGACCCCCAACGCCACCUCAGAAGGUUGCCAGAUCAUACACCCGCCCUGGGAAGGGGGCAUCAGGUACAGGGGCCUGACUCGGGACCAGGUGAAGGCGAUCAACUUCCUGCCCGUGGACUAUGAGAUUGAGUAUGUGUGCCGGGGGGAGCGCGAGGUGGUGGGGCCCAAGGUCCGCAAGUGCCUGGCCAACGGCUCCUGGACAGAUAUGGACACACCCAGCCGCUGUGUCCGAAUCUGCUCCAAGUCUUACUUGACCCUGGAAAAUGGGAAGGUUUUCCUGACGGGUGGGGACCUCCCAGCUCUGGACGGAGCCCGGGUGGAUUUCCGGUGUGACCCCGACUUCCAUCUGGUGGGCAGCUCCCGGACCAUCUGUAGUCAGGGCCAGUGGAGCACCCCCAAGCCCCACUGCCAGGUGAAUCGAACGCCACACUCAGAACGGCGCGCAGUGUACAUCGGGGCGCUGUUUCCCAUGAGCGGGGGCUGGCCGGGGGGCCAGGCCUGUCAGCCCGCGGUGGAGAUGGCGCUGGAGGACGUGAAUAGCCGCAGGGACAUUCUGCCGGACUAUGAGCUCAAGCUCAUCCACCACGACAGCAAGUGUGACCCAGGCCAAGCCACCAAGUACCUGUACGAGCUGCUCUACAACGACCCUAUCAAGAUCAUCCUCAUGCCUGGCUGCAGCUCCGUCUCCACACUCGUGGCCGAGGCUGCCAGGAUGUGGAACCUCAUUGUGCUUUCCUACGGCUCCAGCUCCCCGGCCCUGUCAAACCGGCAACGCUUUCCCACGUUCUUCCGAACCCAUCCGUCCGCCACACUCCACAAUCCGACCAGGGUGAAGCUCUUUGAAAAGUGGGGCUGGAAGAAGAUCGCCACCAUCCAGCAGACCACUGAGGUCUUCACCUCGACUCUGGAUGACCUGGAGGAACGGGUGAAGGAGGCUGGAAUCGAGAUAACUUUCCGUCAGAGUUUCUUUUCAGAUCCAGCUGUGCCUGUCAAAAAUCUUAAGCGCCAGGAUGCCCGAAUCAUCGUGGGACUUUUCUAUGAGACUGAAGCCCGGAAGGUUUUUUGUGAGGUGUACAAGGAGCGGCUCUUCGGGAAGAAGUACGUCUGGUUCCUCAUUGGGUGGUAUGCUGACAACUGGUUCAAGAUCUAUGACCCGUCCAUCAACUGCACAGUGGACGAGAUGACCGAGGCGGUGGAAGGCCACAUCACCACUGAGAUUGUCAUGCUGAACCCUGCCAACACCCGCAGCAUUUCCAACAUGACAUCCCAGGAGUUUGUGGAGAAACUGACCAAGAGACUAAAAAGACACCCUGAGGAGACAGGAGGCUUCCAGGAGGCACCUCUGGCCUAUGAUGCCAUCUGGGCCUUAGCUUUGGCUCUGAACAAGACGUCUGGAGGGGGUGGCCGUUCGGGAGUGCGCCUGGAAGACUUUAACUACAACAACCAGACCAUAACUGACCAGAUCUAUCGGGCAAUGAACUCCUCGUCCUUCGAGGGCGUCUCUGGCCAUGUGGUCUUUGAUGCCAGUGGCUCUCGGAUGGCAUGGACGCUCAUCGAGCAGCUGCAGGGUGGCAGCUACAAGAAGAUUGGCUACUAUGACAGCACCAAGGAUGACCUUUCCUGGUCCAAAACGGAUAAGUGGAUUGGAGGGUCCCCCCCAGCUGACCAGACCCUGGUCAUCAAGACGUUCCGCUUCCUGUCACAGAAACUCUUUAUCUCCGUCUCCGUCCUCUCCAGCCUGGGCAUUGUCCUAGCUGUUGUCUGUCUGUCCUUUAACAUCUAUAACUCCCACGUCCGUUACAUCCAGAACUCCCAGCCCAACCUGAAUAAUCUGACUGCCGUGGGCUGCUCCCUGGCCUUGGCUGCCGUCUUCCCCCUCGGCCUGGACGGCUACCACAUCGGGAGAGGCCAGUUCCCCUUCGUCUGCCAGGCCCGCCUCUGGCUCCUGGGUCUGGGCUUUAGUCUGGGCUACGGCUCCAUGUUCACCAAGAUCUGGUGGGUCCACACGGUCUUCACAAAGAAGGAGGAAAAGAAGGAGUGGAGGAAGACCCUGGAGCCCUGGAAGCUGUACGCCACGGUGGGCCUGCUGGUGGGCAUGGACGUCCUCACCCUCGCCAUCUGGCAGAUCGUGGACCCCUUGCACCGGACCAUUGAGACUUUUGCCAAGGAGGAACCGAAGGAAGACAUUGACGUGUCUAUUCUGCCCCAGCUGGAGCACUGCAGCUCCAAGAAGAUGAAUACGUGGCUUGGUGUGUGGGGCAUGGGGGGUGGGGUGGAUGGGCUAGGACAGUAGGUCUGGAGGGAGAAGAGUCUUUGGAAAAAGAGGCAGAGAGCUUAUGUCAACCCAGUUCCGACAUCCUCUUCUUUGUCACUGCACUCAUCUUUUCUGAGAAUGGGGAGACUUGGUCUUUUGCUGUGAGAAGCUGAGGGUCCAAAGCAGGGGGCGUGGCAGGGCCUGCGGUUGUCAGAGGGACCAGUGGGGAUGCUCUUCCUCGUCUCCAGUCAGCUCCCUGGAGUAAGACCCAGCUGCUCUGGAGGUUUAGGCCACCUUUGGCCUUUUAAACACAGCUCUGACCUGUGAGCACAGAUGGCACACCUCCCUCCUUGUGGAAAGGCGUCUUCCCUCCUGGAGGGGAAGGGGUGAGGCCCUGGGGGCGGCCUAGGCCCUCGCUGGCUGCAGGCGCUCACACCCACCAUCUUCCCGUGUGACGUGGCUCUUGGUCCCUUGCAGAAGCAGUGAGGUCUGCGCCGGCCGGGUGGGCCUUGGGGGCAGUGGGCAGGAGGGGUGUGCUGGGUGGGACAGGGUGGAGUGGAGAGGAGGCCCCCCUGCCCCGCGUAGCUAUCAGAAGGAGCAGCAGCUGUGAGGGGCCUAGAGAGGAGGCAGUGAGAGGAGGUGGAGGUCCCAUCGUCCAGGUGACCCUUUCCUGCGUCCUAGGAAUUUUCUACGGUUACAAGGGGCUGCUGCUGCUGCUGGGUAUCUUUCUCGCCUAUGAGACCAAGAGUGUGUCCACUGAGAAGAUCAAUGACCAUCGGGCUGUGGGCAUGGCCAUCUACAACGUGGCGGUCCUGUGCCUCAUCACCGCCCCGGUCACCAUGAUCCUGUCCAGCCAGCAGGACGCGGCCUUCGCCUUUGCCUCUCUCGCCAUUGUUUUCUCCUCCUACAUCACCCUGGUCGUGCUCUUCGUGCCCAAGAUGCGCAGGCUGAUCACCCGAGGGGAGUGGCAGUCGGAGGCGCAGGACACCAUGAAGACAGGGUCCUCGACCAACAACAACGAGGAGGAGAAGUCCCGGCUGCUGGAGAAGGAGAACCGUGAACUGGAGAAGAUCAUUGCCGAGAAAGAGGAGCGCGUCUCUGAAUUGCGCCAUCAGCUCCAGUCUCGGCAGCAGCUGCGCUCCCGGCGCCACCCUCCGACACCCCCAGACCCCUCGGGGGGCCUGCCCAGGGGCCCCCCCGAGCCCCCCGACCGGCUGAGCUGUGAUGGGAGUCGAGUCCACUUGCUUUACAAGUGAGGGAGGGGGUGCGGGGAGGGGGGACAGGCCAGGAGGGAAGGAGAGGGAGCGGGGAGGGGCGGGAGGAGCGGGGGUCACCACCCCAGGUGGGAAGAACGCGCUACUGCAUCCCAUCUCUUGUAAAUACCUGCCCUCUGCGCCCCCCGGGCUGUCCGGGUCUCUGGGAGCCAGGCCCUGUUCUCGCUCAUUCGUUCAUCUCCUUUUCCAUCCCUACUUUAUAAUCCAGUGUGGACCCGGCUUGAAGCGUCUCACUCAUUGGCUCCUUGGCAGCCUCACUAGGACAUAUCCCCCCUCCCCUUGUUGCCACCGCAACCCCUCAGCUCCCUCGCCUUUGUGCUCUGCUCCCACCCAGCAGGGAUCUCCCCAAAGUGCUCUUUCUGCCCCAAUGGGGCCUCCCCAUGUCUCCCCGCAUCCUCAUCUCCUUCAUCCUCCUUGCCCUUCUGCACAGCCACAGGUUUUGUCCCUCUUGAAUUUUGCUUCUCCAGGGCACUCCUUCUGGUCAAGGCUCUCGCACUCCCCCUCUCUGUCCACCCCCCCUCCAUCUCGCCCGUGUCCUCCCCUCCCCCAGACCGGCUCCUGUGCAGGCAUGUGUUUCACAUGUGCUUUCUUCACAGCCCCCGCCGAGGCCCGUGUGCUCUGCUGAAUUCCUGUCACUCAUGGCUGUGCAUGCCCUGCUCAUGGUCACGGGUGUGCCCUUGUGAGGGUGUGUGUGGGCGGCGUGUGCCAUUUGUCUAGCAUGUCUUCCCUAUGUGCACACAUCAGGUUUAUCCAUGCACUUUCCCGGGUGCUCUCAGGCACCCUCUUCCCUUUGCACCUUACAAUCCUUGGAUUUUUCUGGCAGAGGUGUGUGCACUCACCCUGCACAUGUUAGCACUUUCCCCGGUUCACGUGUGGCGGCGCCGUCCGCAUCCUCUCCUGGUCACGCUGGGUUUCUGCUCGCAGCCUCCCUCCCCUCCUUUGUGCUCAGGGACCACCUUGGUCCACAAGCAGAUCAUCCCUCCCAAGAAUGCUCCCUUUGCUUUUGGGUUUUUCUGGGGGCAAGAGAGAAGAAAUGGGGGGCAGGUUUGGGGAGCUGUUUCCAGUGGAUAGUUGGUGAGGCUCCUGACCAAAGGAAGGCCCCUGACUGCUGAGAUGGACACAUGGGCCUGUGGGGCGGCCAGGGCUGCUGUCUCUUGGGGAAGGAGCUCCCCGCGUCUCAAUAAACCAGUGAACAGAGUGGCUCGGCCCCGCGUCCCUCACUGACCAGAGUGGGCUUCAGUCUGAGGAGGGAGGCUCGGCGGGCUCCAUGGUGAGGAAGAGGCACUGAAGUGGCGAGAAGGAAGAGGUGUUUUACUGACCCACGGAGGGCUUAGCAGGACUCGAUGGGGUGCGAUUAGUGAGAGAUGACAUUAGAGGGUAAGUGUGUGGGCCCUGGCGUCCAAUGGCCAGAGCUUCGGGUUCCACCACAUGCCAAAAAAAUUCCUUCCUCUCUGUCCCCCGAGUCCUCCUUUGAGAAGAGAGUCGUCGUCAUCACCACCGUCUGCAGGCUGUCACCAGUCCCUCCCCGAGGGGUGGCUGCACAUGGUUCUUGGCUCCUGGGGUGUGUUGGGUAAACACUAGCCACCGUCACUACUGUUUAAUGAGUUCUCUGACAGUGAUGGGCACAUUUUGGGAGCCUGGAGCAUGUGGCUGAACAGCUGUGAGGGCUCUUCUUCCCAGAAUUAAGAAUAACAAGAAAAUUACGGCUGCUAGGAGGCAGCACAGGAGAUGGCCCCUGAGCGUUUCCAGCCUUUCAAGUCUUGGAGAACUCUGAGCGCUGGAAGGAACUCGCUAUCUGAAUGAAAGAAAGUGCUGACUGGCCAAUG